rnacentral:rRNA from 1 species
UGGGGAUGAACGUCAAGUCCUCAUGGCCUUUAUGCUUAGGGCUACACACGUGCUACAAUGGGUGGUACAAAGAGAAGCCAACUCGCGAGAGCGCGCCAAUCUCAAAAAGCCAUCCUCAGUUCGGAUUGGAGUCUGCAACUCGACUCCAUGAAGUUGGAAUCGCUGGUAAUCGCGGAUCAGCAUGCCGCGGUGAAUACGGUUCCCGGGCCUU